rnacentral:misc_RNA from 1 species
UACAGCAGAGAUCAAGGAAGAUUCUGAUUUCAAAGAAGUUAAUUGAAUUGGUUGAUUACUCAAAACAGAGGUAGUAGACAAUGGCUUGCUUGUAGAAAGCUGGUUUCUAGUGGUAGGUCCUUUCGAGACAGGACCCCAAUCCUCAUCCCAUGAAGAGCUACUUUUUGAAGCUGGAGCAACAGUUCCACUUGUUUUGCUCAAGGCUUGAGACUGAAGCCCAUUGGGAAAAGGUGCCGUCUUUACCUCUGGAAUUCCAGAAUCAGUAACUGUAACUCCUCUUUUUUCUUCUAUUAUCCUGAGGAUAUCCUUCACAAAGAGCAUAUAUUUGGCAAACUGCAGAACAUUUAAUUGUAAGUGAGAAGAGGGAUAAGUAGAGGAAGGACAUGCUCUGCCACAAAUUCUACUCCAUACU